rnacentral:rRNA from 1 species
AUUGAACGCUGGCGGCAUGCCUUACACAUGCAAGUCGAACGGCAGCAUGAUCUAGCUUGCUAGAUUGAUGGCGAGUGGCUAACGGGUGAGUAAUACAUCGGAACGUGCCCUGUAGUGGGGGAUAAGUAGUCAAAAGAUUAGCUAAUACCGCAUACGACCUGAGGGUGAAAGAGGGGGACCGCAAGGCCUUAUGCUAUAGGAGUGGCCGAGGUCUGAGUAGCUAGUUGGUGAGGUAAAGGCUCACCAAGGCGACGAUCAGUAGCUGGUCUGAGAGGACGAUCAGCCACACUGGGACUGAGACACGGCCCAGACUCCUACGGGAGGCAGCAGUGGGGAAUUUUGAACAAUGGGGGCAACCCUGAUCCAGCAAUGCCGCGUGUGUGAAGAAGGCCUUCGGGUUGUAAAGCACUUUUGUCCGGAAAGAAAUCGCACUUACUAAUAUUAGGUGUGGAUGACGGUACCGGAAGAAUAAGGACCGGCUAACUACGUGCCAGCCGCCGCAGUAACAC